UUGCAAGGGGGGAAAGUGAGCCCUCUGUGAAGCCUGUGUGGGAGAGAGAGAGGCUGAAGGGAUCAAUCACUAAACAGCCAUUGUUAUUUGAUUCAGUGGAUGAGGCCUCAGCUGCUGUUUCACCCUUUCUUCCAACUGAAAUUCUCGUGCAGGAAUGCAUUAAGGUUAACAGUGAAAGCAUCAGAAGACUGAAGAUGAGUUUGAUGAAGGAAUCAGGUGAAAACGAAAACUUCACUAGUUUUGAAUCACUAGCUGCAUAUGUGUGGAGGUCUAAAUCUAGGGCCUUAAAAUUGAACUAUGAUGGGAAAGUUAAG
rnacentral:sRNA from 1 species